GACGAACGCUGGCGGCGUGCUUAACACAUGCAAGUCGAACGGAAAGGCCCUGCUUGCAGGGUACUCGAGUGGCGAACGGGUGAGUAACACGUGGGUGAUCUGCCCUGCACUUCGGGAUAAGCCUGGGAAACUGGGUCUAAUACCGGAUAGGAGCCAUCUUUAGUGUGAUGGUUGGAGAGUUUUUUCGGUGUAGGAUGAGCUCGCGGCCUAUCAGCUUGUUGGUGGGGUAAUGGCCUACCAAGGCGGCGACGGGUAGCCGGCCUGAGAGGGUGGACGGCCACAUUGGGACUUGGAGACGGCCCAGACUCCUACGGGGGGCAGCAGGGGGGAAUAUUGCACAAUGGGGGGAAGCCUGAUGCAGCGACGCCGCGUGGGGGAUGACGGCCUUCGGGUUGGAAACUCCUUUCGCGAGGGACGAAGCUUUUUGUGACGGUACCUAGAUAAGAAGCACCGGCUAACUACGUG
rnacentral:rRNA from 1 species